rnacentral:misc_RNA from 1 species
CGCACCUUGCACCCCUUGGCAUUCCGAGGGGUACAUCUGUUUGAGUGUCAUGAAUCCCUCAACCUCUACAUUUUCUUGUAAAGUGUACGAGCGUUGGAUGUUGAGCGUUGCUGUUCUCACCGACAGCUCGCUUCAAAUGCAGUAGCAAUCUUGAUAGUGAUCGGAUUGACCCGACGUGAUAAGAUCUUCGUUGGGGAUGCUCUAGUCAGCAGCCGACCGUUAUUACAAGCAGCUUCCAACCCUGUGGUGCGCAUUCUUUGCGCUCACCACCCCCCUUAAAUUUAGACCUCAAAUCAGAUGGGACUACCCGCUGAACUUAA